UGGUCCAUGAUGGCUAGACCACUGCUCAGUCUGAGCUCUGGAAACCAGGUGAUGGAGUGUUCUGAAAACGGACUGAGACUG